AUUGAACGCUGGCGGCAGGCCUAACACAUGCAAGUCGAACGAGUGGGGGGCGGGUGGGCAAUGUCUGGGAAACUGCCUGAUGGAGGGCGUUAGGUAAUGGAAGCGGUAGCUACUACCGCAUACCAUAGGCUGUGCCGAGUUGGGAUUAGCUAGUAGGUGGGGUAAAGGCUCACCUAGGCGACGAUCCCUAGCUGGUCUGAGAGGAUGAUCAGUCACACUGGAACUGAGACACGGUCCAGACUCCUACGGGAGGCAGCAGUGGGGAAUAUUGGACAAUGGGCGAAAGCCUGAUCCAGCCAUGCCGCGUGUAUGAAGAAGGCCUUCGGAUUGUAAAGUACUUUAAGUGGGGAGGCGUUACCAGCAGAAGAAGCACCGGCUAACUCCGUGCCAGCAGCCGCGGUAAUAC
rnacentral:rRNA from 1 species